GCCACAGUUGGCUCAAUUGGUUAGAGUGUGGUGCUGGUAAUGGCAAGGUCGCAGGUUCAAUCCUCAUAGGGCC